rnacentral:lncRNA from 1 species
GAAGUCUUUCUGCACCUCUAGACGUCACCAGCUCUUCAACGCAAUAAACGGUUCGUCAAUUGGAGCUAUAUAGGCUCCAGAAUUAUAAAAAUAUUGUUUCAAUAGAAAACAGAAUCUCAAUCAAACCUAGAAUCAUCUGUGGCCGUCCGAUCGGCAUCAACUCACAUCAGAACCGUUCGAUCAUGCAAAACAAGGCCACUGAUCACCUAAUCAAGCCUGGAUUCAUCUUCAGCCAGCU